GUGCAGCUGACGAGUCUCAAAUAGGACGAAACGCGCGUCCUGGAU
rnacentral:hammerhead_ribozyme from 1 species